rnacentral:rRNA from 1 species
GACGAACGCUGGCGGCGUGCUUAACACAUGCAAGUCGAACGAAGAGCGACGGAAGCUUGCUUCUAUCAAUCUUAGUGGCGAACGGGUGAGUAACGCGUAAUCAACCUGCCCUUCAGAGGGGGACAACAGUUGGAAACGACUGCUAAUACCGCAUACGAUCUAACCUCGGCAUCGAGGAUAGAUGAAAGGUGGCCUCUACAUGUAAGCUAUCACUGAAGGAGGGGAUUGCGUCUGAUUAGCUAGUUGGAGGGGUAACGGCCCACCAAGGCGAUGAUCAGUAGCCGGUCUGAGAGGAUGAACGGCCACAUUGGGACGGAGACACGGCCCAGACGCCUACGGGAGGCAGCAGUGGGGAAUCUUCCGCAAUGGACGAAAGUCUGACGGAGCAACGCCGCGUGAGUGAUGACGGCCGUCGGGUUGUAAAGCUCGGUUAAUCGGGACGAAAGGCCUUCUUGCGAAUAGUGAGAAGGAUUGACGGUACCGGAAUAGAAAGCCACGGCUAACUACGUG